GGCGAGAUGGCCGAGCGGUCCAAGGCGCUAGUUGAAGGCACCAGUCCCUUCGGGGGCGUGGGUUCGAAUCCCACUCUCGUCA
rnacentral:tRNA from 1 species